ACUGCUGCGUUGAGAUUUGAUUUUCCCGCCAUGUAAAGAAUUUACUGCGCAAGUGCAAUGAAGAUCAAAUAUGGCUGAUUAGAACGAGUUGCCUACGGGACAUUUCAGCGAAGAAGGUGCAUUCUGAGAAGGAGAUACACAGAACCGGGCUUAUCGAUAAGUGAGGAAGGUCCCAUAACACAGUGAUCAUGUCUGAUGAAGAAGUUGUAAUGACCCCCACCAAGAAGGGGAACACAACACACAUUAGAAUAGAGAAGCGCAAGAAGCUGGACUUCAGUGGAGAUGAUCAGACAGUUCAUGUAGCAGGAGGGCAGCAUAAAGGACUGGUGGUCAAUAAGCAGAUCUCAGAUGACGCAGAUCUAGGUCGGCCACAACUGCAGAUUGGAUUUAACUGCUUCCUUGUUGAUCAAAAGACAGAGAAACGUGUUGUGGAGAGUCGUAGACUGAAGUUUUGGUAUGUUGAUGACACUGGUUAUCUGGAUCAAGUGACCACAGCAUAUGAGUUCUUUAAGGAACUUGUUCAACCUGCCAACUUUCCAAGAGAUUAUGUUGGAUUUAUCAAGAAGUGCAUGAAGCAAAUGCAGAAAAAUGAGUACAAAUUAGCCAAGAAAAUUGACCUUGAAAUCCGUCAGCUGAGUGAUCAGGAGGCCCCCUUAACACCAGGAAUUGCAAAAGAAGAUAAGCGGCCUAUAGAGGAGAUUGUGCGUGAGAAGAUCCUACAGGUGUUGGAGUCCGCCUAUCCUAACGUUCUGGAGGUGGAAGAUUUAGUCAGGAUAACAGCAGCAGAUGAGGCGAUUAUAAACCAGCAACUGGAGGAGCUGAAGGCCAAGAAUCUGGUGAGAGAGAUGGAGAACGGGAAAGUGGUCAGACAUGUAUUGGAGGAUGAUAAAACGGAAACUGAAGUACAGAUGGUGAAACACAUGCCAAGCAUUGCUGCCAACCAACAGCCCACCAUCAGAAUCAUUAUAGCUAACUACUGUGAGAAGCUCGCUGUGGACGCCAUGAUGGAUAACAUAACCACUUUUGUCAAAUACAAGACAGAGGGAGAAUGUUCUGUGUACACAGUGGGUUUUAUUGGUGAACAUAAAUGUGUGUCCACCAAGCUCCCAGAGAUCGGGCAAUCCCGGGCAGCUCAGAUCUCAUCAGGCAACACUACCACCCGACUACUGGGACAAAGAAGGCAACAUCCAGUACGAGAUGAGGACCUGGUCAUCCAGAGACCUGUCCCUACAGCGUGUCGCAGAGAAAAUCGAGCAGAACUACACAAGGAAACCAGAAAAGGGUCACUGAGAACCCUAAUCCAUGAAGGACAGGAAUUGCUGGAAAAAACAAGAGGCUGAUUUAAACCGUGCGCCAAAAGAAUUUGAUAAACUGUACAUUUCCAUAGGAGAGUCUAGCACCC
rnacentral:sRNA from 1 species